CGGCCCCAACACGACUGGCGAAGGUGGGUCACCACCGGGGAGUGACGACGUCGAGGUGCAUCGCCCGCCUGGGUGCACCCA
rnacentral:ncRNA from 2 species